rnacentral:tRNA from 1 species
GCAUUAAUGGGGUAGUGGUAACCUGGGUUGUUGCCAUCCAGCCACAUUUGACACUGCUAUAUAUAUUGACCUGCUGAGGGUUUGAUUCCCUCUUGAUGCA